GUGCUUGCUUCAACAGCCCAUGAACCACACUUGGAAGGAUGCAGAGCAGAUUAGCAAGGCUCCUGCACAGGGAUGAACUGCUCAUUCAUGAAGCAUUCCAUAGUUCA